UACGAAGGGGGCUAGCGUUGUUCGGAAUCACUGGGCGUAAAGCGCACGUAGGCGGAUCUUUAAGUCAGAGGUGAAAUCCCAAGGCUCAACCUUGGAACUGCCUUUGAUACUGGGGAUCUUGAGUCCGGGAGAGGUGAGUGGAACUGCGAGUGUAGAGGUGAAAUUCGUAGAUAUUCGCAAGAACACCAGUGGCGAAGGCGGCUCACUGGCCCGGUACUGACGCUGAGGUGCGAAAGCGUAGGGAGCAAACAGG
rnacentral:rRNA from 1 species